rnacentral:rRNA from 1 species
CACGUAGGCGGAUUGUUAAGUCGGGGGUGAAAUCCUGGAGCUCAACUCCAGAAUUGCCUUCGAUACUGGCUUUCUAGAGGCUGGAAGAGGUUAGUGGAAUUCCCAGUGUAGAGGUGAAAUUCGUAGAUAUUGGGAAGAACACCAGUGGCGAAGGCGGCUAACUGGUCCAGAUCUGACGCUGAGGUGCGAAAGCGUGGGGAGCAAACA